rnacentral:rRNA from 1 species
UACAGAGGAGCCAAGCGUUGUCCGGAUUGACUGGGCGUAAAGCGCACGCAGGCGGUCGCGCGCGUGGGGUGUGAAAUCUGGCCGCUUAACGGCCAGGCGCCAUCCCAUACGGCGCGACUGGAGUGAUGCAGAGGUCGGUGGAAUUGCUGGUGUAGUGGUGAAAUGCGUAGAGAUCGGCAGGAACACCCCGGGGGAAACCAGCCGACUGGGCAUCAACUGACGCUGAGGUGCGAGAGCGUGGGGAGCGAACCGG